rnacentral:ncRNA from 1 species
GAUAGAGGCGCGGAGUUUAUCAGUAAUUUUUUCGAUCUGACAUAGGGAGUUGGUAUAUUGGAUAAAUGAAAGGAAACUUCGCCGAAGGAGUUUUGGUCCCCGGCCUUGGCUUCUGGGCCGCCGCAGAAUAUGCGGCGGACUGUCACAUAAGUGGAGAGCUAUCC